UGUGUAGGAUAGGUGGGAGAUGUUGAAGCCUGGUCGCCAGAUCGGGUGGAGUCGGCAAGUGAAAUACCACUCUGACCAUUCUGGAUUCCUUAACUUCGGACCCUGAUCGGGUUCAGGGACAGUGCCUGAUGGGUAGUUUAACUGGGGCGGUUGCCUCCUAAAGAGUAACGGAGGCGCCCAAAGGUUCCCUCAGCCUGGUUGGCAAUCAGGUGUCGAGUGUAAGUGCACAAGGGAGCUUGACUGUGAGACGGACGUGUCGAGCAGGAGCGAAAGCUGGGACUAGUGACCCGGCCAUGGCUUGUGGAAGCGUGGUCGCUCAACGGAUAAAAGGUACCUCGGGGAUAACAGGCUGAUCUUGCCCAAGAGUCCAUAUCGACGGCAUGGUUUGGCACCUCGAUGUCGGCUCGUCGCAUCCUGGGGCUGGAGUCGGUCCCAAGGGUUGGGCUGUUCGCCCAUUAAAGCGGUACGCGAGCUGGGUUUAGAACGUCGUGAGACAGUUCGGUCCCUAUCCGCUGCGUGCGUAGGAAAUUUGUGGAGGGCUGUCCUUAGUACGAGAGGGGCGGGACGGACGACCCUCUGGUGUGCCAGUUGUACCGCCAGGUGCAUGGCUGGUUGGCUACGUUCGGGAAGGAUAACCGCUGAAAGCAUCU
rnacentral:rRNA from 1 species